ensembl:lncRNA
UUUUUUUUUUUUUUUGUCUUUUUGCCUUUUCUAGGGCCACACCUGCAGCAUAUGGAGGUUCCCAGGCUAGGGGUCUAAUCGGAGCUGUAGCCGCUGGCCUACACCGCAGUCACAGCAACAAGGGAUCCAAACCUCCCCUGUGACCUACCCACAGCUCAUGGCAAUGCCAGAUCCUUAACCCACUGAAUAAGGCCGGGGAUGGAACCCGCAUCCUCAUGGAUGCUAGUCAGGUGUGUUAACUGCUGCGCCACGACGGGAACUCCUCAUCUUUCCCUUAGGGAAUCAUCAGUCCCACGCUCCCCCACCACACCCCUCUUUCCUAGCAGGUGGCCUGUGGAAGAAGGCGCUAGAAGACACCUGUGCAAAACUAGAAUGCAUUCUCAUGUACUGAUAUUAUUAUUCACCCUAUUUUUAAUUUUAAGCAGAUUUGAGUGCCCUACCAUGAAAAAGAAAGCAAUAUGUUCACAGACACUUCUCAGCAAUCUGAGCAAAGUCGUUCCCGCAAGGGAUCCUGCAACUUCCUAUCAGAACCUGUACAGGCAGAACGCAAAUGCGAACAUCAGUGCUACUCUGCAGACAAAGCAGACGCCCUGCUGCUCUGGGAGAGGGAAAUUUAAAGGAGGAGAAAACUUAUGAAUUUGUUGUAGUGACACCCGUCGGCAUGCGUAUGUGACCGUUUAAAAACGGUGUGUGUGUGACAGUGUGCAGAAGGAUGUGGGUACUGAAUUUAAUAAACGUUUGAGAGCCUACUCUGGGCAAGAACUGAACUACCCCUAAGCAAAUGAGGCGGUUUCGCUGCCUUCGUGUGUGACCAGGUCCCAUGAGCUCGUCUGUGGACCCAUCAGGUGGGUCAGUCUGGAGGCAGGCCACGCCCCCCUCAGCCUCCUCCUUUCCCGCCACCUCAUUUUCUUCCUGCUACUUUUUCGCUCCCUGUUCCAACUAUUACCCUUGCACUGUAGGGCCUGACCCUCUGGACAGGGGAGACUUUGCUGAGUAUUUGCUAUGGACAAGCAAUACUUGUCAAGAAGGAAUGACAAUCAGUAAGUAGGAAUUCGUUUUACUUUCGCAUUUCAUUUCAUAUUUACUCUUAAGCAGCUCUGAGACAGGGAGAAGGGAACAUACACACUGCGAAUGCGGACAGGACUACAUAGAAUCAGGGAUUAAACAGCCCAGUUGAAACGACGAGAUCCAUCUGUGCAAUGCCUGGAAGUUUAUGGAUCCUUUUUUAUCCCCAUGAGUGACUUAAAUCAUGCCCUUGAUGUUGCGAUAAGGAUACCAGUUCGGAGAGGAAAAAUAAGCUACCUGAGUCAGAUGUCUGGUGAACAAAGUGCUUGGUCCCCUGACACCAAACGUCGUGGUGUUCUCACCACCAGAAGGUGCCUCUUGCAAAGGUCAACAAUCGGAGUGGGCAAGAAGCACCUGAAUGUUCCAGGACACACAGCAGCAGCAGCAGCAGCAGCAGCAGCAGGAAGGACUCCACCUGGGCAAGGGCACGAGCAGUGAGGCCUUGAGUGAGGAAGAGCCGUGAGACAGGGGGUCCCACUGAGAGAGCAUCUUCAGAGCCAGAGGGAGGCGGUUUCACAAAGAGGCGAGCUGGCGAGGACACUUAGGACCUAAGAUUCCAGAACCAAGAGUGUGGCUUGAGCUGACUCCCCAAAGAGAACCACUGUGGGUUCUACAGCAGAAGGCAAGCAGCGUGUUAGGAAGACGAACCACCCGGGGCAUGAGAGCUACUCGAAUUCAGAAGGGAAGGGAGACAGAACGAAGGCAAAGGGCAGGAUUCUACUGCACCCUCAAAGGCGGAGCAGCGAGGGCCUGAACAAGGAGUGUUGUGAAAAUGAUGGGAGCAAAUUUAAGUGGUGCUAACGGAAGAACUGGACAAGCGCUGGCUGAUGGGAGAGAUGAUGCGAGGAAGCAGGAAUGAAUGCAGUUGGGCGAAUGGCUUUAUCAUGAAGCGCGAGGUGUUAUUCCAGUUCUCACUGGAAGACCCAGGAGCAGGCUGGUGAGCAAUUCUGCUCUCUCACUUUGAAUCCAGGAUAACUCACUAGCAUAAUUAAGGUUUCCUGCUUUUAUUAGGGGGUUGGCAUAGCUCAGGGUUGACCAAGUAUUGCUCUCAGGAGUGGAUUCCGUGGGAAAGUUGAAGGCAGUGAGGUGAGAAGGCCGUUUAGGUUCAGGUCCUCAUGAGACCC